AGAAUUCUCAAAUAUUAACAGAUAAAACAAUUUAGGCCAAAUACGAUAUAAUAUAAGUAUGUGUGUGACAGGAAAACAACUGACAUUUUUUAUAGACUGAUAACAUAGAUAAGGAUAAAUGUACAACAUUUUCAAAUAAACCAAUAACUUAUCAAUAUACAAUUGAUAAAAUGUACAAGCUAAUGUUUUACGCGGUUAUUCUAGUUAAUCUAGCAUUAAAAGUACCUCCAAACUGCUGCAAUCCGUGGUGGGGCUUGGGAGGCAGACGGAAGGGAGGGCAGGUGCGGUUUACUGCUACGCAGACCGGCGCGCUGGAGCGUCGUUUCAACGCCAGCAAGUAUCUCAGCCCUGAUGAGGAGGACCCUCGCUUCCACGCUUAGACUUAGUGAUCGGCAGGUAAAAACGUGGUUCCAAAACCGUCGUGCCAAGUGGCGCAGGACGACUCCUGACUCCGCUGAUGCAGGAGCCCGCCCACCGCUGACGAAGGCUCCGACGACGACGUGCACAUAGCUGACGAAGACUGAACGGAACUGACCGAAUGAAUGAACGAUGAAAAUAGAAUAAACUUUAUUGCACGGC